rnacentral:rRNA from 1 species
GACGGAAGGUGCAAGCGUUGCUCGGAAUCACUGGGCGUAAAGGGUGCGUAGGCGGCCGUGUAAGUCUGGCGUGAAAGCCCCGGGCUCAGCCCGGGAAGUGCGCUCGAAACUGCAGGGCUCGAGUGCCGGAGGGGAGAGUGGAAUUCCUGGUGUAGCGGUGAAAUGCGUAGAUAUCAGGAGGAAUACCGGUGGCGAAAGCGACUCUCUGGACGGUAACUGACGCUAAGGCACGAAAGCGUGGGGAGCAAACGGG